CACCCCUCAGGCCUCCCUCCCUUUGCUCGACACGUUGUAAGUCACACACACGUGCCUGCACAUGGGACGGCUUCAUUCUCUUCACCGCAUGAAUAUGCCGGGGUCCCCUCUUCAUUUUCCUUGAAGACACUGAAAGCAAUCCCAGGGCUUGUGCCUUAGGACAGAGCUGCUGGACCCGCAGCACGUGGGUCCUGACGGGCACCCAGGAGUGAACGGCCUCAGGGGCAGGUCCUGCCACUCAGUCUCCCCCGCGGGCGCCCCUUCACACCCACCACGGCGCUCCUGUGCUCCAACCCUGCCCCUGGCGGGUGGCCCAGCACCUGCCUGGGGCUUCAGGUUCACGCCCCCCUGGUGGCCGGUGCACAGGAACCUUGCAUCUCUAUUUUCCAGAGGUCCUGCCUCCUCUGAUCCCAAGGACAGUAACAGGAGGAGGACUCAGAACUAACAUUUGGGGCGGGGGACACUUGGGUGGCUCAGUUAAGCGUCCAACUCUUGGAUUUGGCUCAGGCCAUGAUCUCAGGUCAUGGAUGGAGCCCCAUGUCAGGCUCUGCACUCAGGGGGAGCCCGUUUGAGGAUUUUCUUCCUCUCUUAAAAAAAAAAAAAAAAAAAGGAACCAAGAUUUGGAACUCAGGCCUCUCAGACUCUGUGCUCGGCACCCAGUGGGUGCUCUCUGGGAGGCAGUGGUUUGGGGAAUGUCUUGCCCUGUCUAGGCCUGGGGAGCACCCCAAGAGCUUGGGGGGAGGAAGCCGGUGUCCCUCCUGAGCACGUGUCCGUGGCUGACAUGGCUCCAAGGGACGCCCGACAGCUGCAGGUCCCGUCCCCCUGCCUAGAGCCCCGUCCCCUGCACACAGGCAGGCCUCAGGUGAAAAUCCACGCUACCACUGAGAUCGAGGCAUCUGAGCAGUUUGAUCCUGGACGGUCCCAGUGGAGGCAGGUCCUAUCUAAUCCGCACGAUUAGUCCGGCCUGAACUUCCAUCCUCGAGGGGCCAGUCUCCUGGGUUCAAAUCCUGGCUCUGCGGCUUAUGGCUGAGCAACCUCAGGAGGGUUUCUUAAUCUCCCUGUGCCUGUUUUCCCAUUUCAAAUGGGAAAGUAAAGUACCUCCAUCUCCGGAGUAUUGUGAGGAUCAAUAAGGUAUCAGGUCAACAGGGCCUCACAGGGCACCUGGCGUGGGGUGUGGGUGACACGAGCUCCGGUGGGCUUGACGAUCGCCUCUAUCCGUUCUUCCUCACUCUUCACUGUGGAAGGUCGGGGCUUCUUUUUUAUGAUGUGAAUUAUUUGUGCAUUUACCUGUCGGACUCCAUAAAGCAGUCGCUCUGAAAAGGUGGCCCCAGGCCUGCCCUGGGCCAGAUGUGAGCAUCGUGAGGGAAAUUUUCCAAGCUCACUGCAGACCCACCAAACCAAUAAUUCGGGGAUGGGGCCAUGCGAUCUGGGUUCCUACAAGCCCUCCAGGAGACUUGACCCACCCUGAGUCUGAGAACCACUGCUGGAAAGGUUUUAUCUUUAAAAUAAAUCAAGGGGGGAAUCCCUGGGUGGCGCAGCAGUUUAGCACUUGCCUUUGGCCCAGGGUGUGAUCCUGGAGACCCGGGAUCGAAUCCCACGUCAGGCUCCCGGUGCAUGGAGCCUGCUUCUCCCUCUGCCUGUGUCUCUGCCUCUCUCUCUCUCUCUGUGUGACUAUCAUGAAUAAAUAAAAAUUAAAAAAUAAAUAAAUAAAAUAAAAUAAAUCAAGGCGUGCCUGGGCAGUUUGGUGGUUGAGUGUCUGCCUUCGGCUCAGGGGGUGACCCCCGGGUCCUGGGAUCAAGUCCCACAUCGGGCUCCCUAUAGGGAACCUGUUUCUCCUUCUGCCUGUGUCUCUGCUUCUCUCUCUGUGUGUGUCUCUCAUGAAUAAAUAAAUAGAAUCUUUAAAAUAAAUAAACAAAUAAAUAAAUAAUUUUUAAAUAAACCAAAAUCAAAGUAUAUCCAGAAAAGCCAGGCUGCGGGAAAAAGAAAAACAUUCCUGCCGCGUUCCCUUCCUGCUCCGAACAGGGUCACAUAUUUCCUGUUCCCACGCCCCGGGUGCGCGCCCUGUGGCGGCCACCGCCGAGUACACACUGCAGACAACACUGCGAACGGUGUUGUCUCCAGGCCUGGAGGCUGGAAGCCCAAGACUCACGCGGUGGCAGGCGUGCUUUCUGCUGGAGGCACCACGAGAUGAUUCGGUCCAGGCCCCUCUCUGAGCUCUGGCAACUCUGGGGGUUCCUCGGCUGGGUGUUCGGACUCUCUGACCCCGGAGCUGAGCCCACGGCCCUCUGAGAAGGGCUCGAGGACCUGGGUGGGCCACCCCCUCGGCCCCACACAGACACAGGGCCGGGCCGAGCAGGGCUCCGGGCCCCCUCUGCUCUCCCGGGUUGGUUGAGAGCACAGCCACCUGCCCUGUGGGGCUGUUCCCUGACCCCACGCCUUCUGCCUGUCACCCCUGCUCCAGAACAUCAUGCGGCCCACGCUGACCGUGCAGAGACUGGUCUGCCCCCGUGUGAGGGCACGUGUCGGGUGAUGACGGGAUUCGAUAUGAAAAUGGCAUUUGUUUUCCAGAACUUAGAAUCCAGACAAUUGACAGACUGCCUUUACCAAAACAAAGAUACAGCAAAAGAAUAUUUGCUCCCGCAAACGUCCUCAUGUUUAAGGUAAUUAAUGCCACUUGUGAAAUCCGGGAAGAAUCCGGGACAGAGGAAAGUAGUGUACCUCUUCCUAGGGUCACUCUCCGCCCAAGCUGGAUGACAAAAUGCCCUGAUAAAGAAAGUGAAGAGGGCUUUGCUCUGGCCGAGGUGUGCAUCCAUGCACCUGUGCCCUGAGGACCGCGUGGGCGGGUCCCCAAUGCCUGUUGGACGUCAGUGCCGCCCAGCUGUCCGGGAACCGAGUCAGGGUCCCGGCCCCACGGAGGACGGAGGGGGCUGAGCUGCGUGUUCCGCCUGAGGGUCUGCUUCGGGGAGGAAGGGGCCUGUGUUGGCAGGCUCACGGGGAAGGGGGUGUCCGAGCACUCUCUGGGUGCUCCCUUAGCGGGGGCGCCCCAUCUCCGCUGUAGCUUGACUCUGCCUCCCUUCCCCACGCCCGCAGGCCGCUUGGGCCCGGCCUCCCUCCCAGGGUCACCCGAGGUGGCCUCCAGCCUCCCAGGGGCCUGGUCCAUCCGCGGGCACACAGCACGCCCACCUCCAGGCCGAGGAGACUGUCCAGGCAAGGCGAACGUGACUCCGCUAGGCCUCAGCCCUGUGCUCGCAGGCAGAGACCCGGCCCAAGACGACCCAGGGCGCAGGUCGGCAGCUUGACUUCGCCAGGGCACCACGGGGAAAGCUCACGCAGCCCCCGGUGUAGACGAAGCUGAGGCCUCAGACACGGAGGGACCUUGGAGGUGUCCCUUCCACCCAGCUCAGCACUGAGCCCACCUAGUUCCCAGGAGCUUCUCAAAGACGCGCAGAGCAGAGCGGCAUCCGUGGGGGCCAGGCCCACCUGAGGCCCGAGGCCACCAAGCAGGAGGCCCCCCAGGAGCCCCGUAGCCAACACCAGGAGGAAGGCUUCCGCGGGGCGGGCUCUGCUGGAAAUGUGUUUCCAUCCACACCGCCGGCUUCCCGCUUCCUUGGCUGCUCCCAGUGCCCCUGCGUAGAUCCUGGGGUUCUGCGCAAGAUGACAGGUUUAUGGGACACUCUUAUCCGGUGCCUCUCCCUUCCCAGGAAUGUUUGGGGGGUGGGGACGGGAUCAGGAUGUAGCCAGAAAAGCCAUUUCCAUGACAUAAAUUACCUGAAGUAGGAGCUUCCCGGGGCUGCUGUUCAAACGGGCCCACGCGGGCAGCUUAGGUGUGGAGGGCUGUCCUCCCCCUGCUG
rnacentral:lncRNA from 1 species